GAACGGGUGAGUAACGUGGGCAAUCUGCCCUUCACUCUGGGACAACCCUGGAAACGGGUAAUACCGGAUAACACUCUGUCCCGGGGGGGGUUAAAAGUCCGGCGGUGAAGGAUGAGCCCGCGGCCUAUCAGCUUGUUGGUGGGGUAAUGGCCUACCAGGCGACGACGGGUAGCCGGCCUGAGAGGGCGACCGGCCACACUGGGACUGAGACACGGCCCAGACUCCUACGGGAGGCAGCAGUGGGGAAUAUUGCACAAUGGGCGAAAGCCUGAUGCAGCGACGCCGCGUGAGGGAUGACGGCCUUCGGGUUGUAAACCUCUUUCAGCAGGGAAGAAGGACGGUACCUGCAGAAGAAGCGCCGGCU
rnacentral:rRNA from 6 species